rnacentral:rRNA from 1 species
GAUGAACGCUGGCGGCGUGCCUAAUACAUGCAAGUCGAGCGAACGGACGAGAAGCUUGCUUCUCUGAUGUUAGCGGCGGACGGGUGAGUAACACGUGGAUAACCUACCUAUAAGACUGGGAUAACUUCGGGACACCGGAGCUAAUACCGGAUAAUAUUUUGAACCGCAUGGUUCAAAAGUGAAAGACGGUCUUGCUGUCACUUAUAGAUGGAUCCGCGCUGCAUUAGCUAGUUGGUAAGGUAACGGCUUACCAAGGCAACGAUGCAUAGCCGACCUGAGAGGGUGAUCGGCCACACUGGAACUGAGACACGGUCCAGACUCCUACGGGAGGCAGCAGUAGGGAAUCUUCCGCAAUGGGCGAAAGCCUGACGGAGCAACGCCGCGUGAGUGAUGAAGGUCUUCGGAUCGUAAAACUCUGUUAUUAGGGAAGAACAUAUGUGUAAGUAACUGUGCACAUCUUGACGGUACCUGAUCAGAAAGCCACGGCUAACUACGUG